UUGACAGGUGCGCCCCUGCAGACUUAACAGGUGCACCCCGCAUCUCGUCAACAGUCUGCAUGUGCCAUCUCUGUGCUCUUACGGUGUUUAAAGAAGAAAGGUGUUUAAGGAAGAAAGGUGUUUUCUGAAGGAAGGAUAUUACAGAAAGCAAAGUGAAUUUGUGUUCAAAAUAUGGCUGACGGCUGAACAUAAAUAAAAGGCUUCUGAACGCUUCACCAUUGUCUGGGUGGGGUUCGCUACAACUGGCGAUACUCCAUAUCUCAGUUAUGUGAACAGAAUGUGUGUUGUUUUCCCACUGUUCUUCAAACAAGUUCCUGAGUCAAGUCAAGUCAAUUUUAUUUGUAUAGCCCAAAAUCACAAAUCACAAAUUUGCCUCGGGGGGCUUCACAAUCUGUACAGGAUACGUCAUCCUCUGUCCUUGACAUUGCAACCCUCACAUUGGAUAGGGAAAAACUUAACCAAAAAAAAAAAAAACCUCUGAAAUGGAAUGAUUAGUGAAAUAUGUCAGACAUUAAUUAUGAUUAUGCUUUUAUAAAUGGAAAUAAAACAU